UUUGAUGUUUAUAUAAACAGGGAUUUGAAAAAAUAAUAGUCAGACUUAGUUUCUUGCUUACGACGUAAACAAUAUCACAUUAAUAUCAUUAAAACUAUAAUUAAAACAAUGGAUGAUAAAAAAGUGUAUAGAUCGUGGAACGGUAUUGACUCGGGUGAAGAAAUUGUUAUUUCUGGUAUUAGCGGCAGAUUUCCAGAUUCAGACAAUAUGAAUCAAUUACGAGAAAAUCUAUUUAAUAAAGUUGACCUUAUUAAAGCAAAUCAUGAUCGAUGGAAAGAAGAUCUUCUUCCGGAUAUGUCAAGCCGUAUGGGAACAGUUAACAAUGUGAACAAAUUUGAUACCAAUUUCUUUGAAUUAUCUUUUGAUCAAACGCAAACACUCUCAUCUGAAACGAGAUUAUUAAUGGAACAUUGUUAUGAAGCAAUUGUCGAUGCGGGAAUUAAUCCAAAGCAAUUACGAGGAAAAAAUACUGCUGUAAUUACAGGGACAUGUUUUAUUGAAACGCAAAAAGAUUUUCCAUAUAAGAAAGAAGAGUUAGGUGGCUUGAAUAUUAUUGGAUGUAGCAAAUCUACAACAGCAAACAUGAUUUCAUACUACUUGGAUAUAAAAGGACCGUCACAUGCAGUUGAUACAGCAUGCAGUUCUAGCCUUUAUGCUAUGGCACUUGGUUAUAAUUAUAUUAUGUCAGGAGUAUGCGAAGAUGCGAUAAUUGGGACUGCAAAUCUAUGUCUUAAUCCAGUUAUUAAUCUUCUAUUCACUAAUCUUGGUGUUUUGUCACCUAAUGGUUAUUCCAGACCUUUUGAUUCUGCUGCAAAUGGUUUUGUGCGUGCUGAAACGGUGGCAGUGAUAUAUCUACAAAAAGCAAAAAAUGCAAAAAGGAUUUAUGCUAUAUGUCCACAUAUUAAAGUAAACAGUGAUGGUUAUAAACAAGAAGGAAUAACAUUUCCAUCGUCUUUCAUGCAGAGUACUCUACUAACGGAACUUUACAAUGAAUGCGGAAUAUCGACAUCUUGUUUGGAUUACAUUGAAGCACAUGGUACCGGUACCAAAGUUGGCGAUCCUCAGGAAAUCAAGGCUAUCUGCGAUGUUCUUUGUACAAAUAGAAAAGGUCCAUUAAUGAUUGGUUCUGUUAAAUCUAAUCUUGGUCAUGCUGAACCAGCAAGCGGCAUCACUCAGAUUGCUAAGGUGAUAAUAGCAUUCGAAAGCGGUUUUGUCCCUCCAAAUAUUAAUUAUACAACACCACGGAAUGAUACAGAUGCCUUAAUAAAUGGUACUAUUCGUGUCGUCGAAAAACCGAUGCCACUUAAAAACGGUUACAUAGGUAUCAGUUCUUUUGGUUUCGGAGGAGCUAAUGUUCAUGCAUUGUUAAAGUGGAAUCACAAACAGAAAAUUAACAACGGUUUAUCGAAUGAUGAUUUGCCAAGACUUGUGAUAUUAUCUGGACGUACUGAAGAAUCUGUGAAAUUGUUUUUAAACGACGUCAUUAAUCAUUCAAUAGACAAAGAAUACAUCCGUUUAUUACACGAUAUCCAUGCAGACAAUAUAGAAGGUCAUCCAUGGAGAGGAUUUAUUAUACUUAAUAAUCAGCAACAAGAAUCAAUAAAGGAAAUUCAAAAUUGUGAAAGCACGAAAAGACCUGUUUGGUUUAUAUUUUCUGCUCUAGGAACUCAAUGGCCAGGAAUGGGACAAAACUUAUUAAAAUUUCAAGUUUUUGCAAAUACAAUAAAAAUGUGCGAUAUUAUUUUGAAACCAUAUGGUAUAAGUGUCACGGAUAUUUUGACAAGGACCGAUGAAAAAUUGUGCGAAAACGCUUUAUAUGCCUUUCUUGGUAUCGUCGCUAUUCAGAUUGGCUUAGUAGAUCUCUUGACAUUGUUAGGAAUUACUCCGGAUUACAUGAUUAGUCAUUCCGCUGGUGAACUCGGUUGCGCUUAUGCGGAUAAAUGUCUCACUAUUGAACAAACUAUUUUGUCAGCAUACUUUAUAGGUUUGGCAUGUGUCGAAGGAAAAGUAAUUUGCAGCUCUAUGGCACUCGUCAGUCUUAAUUACGGAAAUCUAAAAAGUAUGUGUCCAGCAGAUAUUGAAAUAAUAUGCCGCAAUAGCGGAAAUAGCAAUAUUGUGUGUGGACCGACAGAAUCCAUACAAAAAUUUAUGGAAAAAUUGCAGCUUAAUAAUAUUUACGUGAAAGAGAUCUAUUGCAACGUACCGUAUCACAGUUCUUAUCUCGCAUCCGUGAAAACGCAACUUCUGUUAAAUUUAAACAAUGUAAUACCGUGGCCAAAGAAACGGAGUUCAAAAUGGAUUAGUUCUUCAAUAUCUCGAACGGAAUGGUUCACUUCAGCGUCAAGUUUAUCAUCGGCGGACUAUCAUACGAAUAGUAUAUUAAACACCGUUCUUUUUGAACAAACUACACAACUAAUUCCAAGUAAUGCUGUGAUUAUCGAAAUUGCACCAAACAGUGUUUUGCAAAACGUUUUGAAAGGAUCCUUGGAUUCAAAAAUAGCAGACGUUGUACUGAAUAAACGUACUGAACAAAAUAUUCAAGUAUUUUUAAGAGGAAUUGGAAGGCUCUACAAUUAUGGUUUACAGCCGCAGAUCGCCAAUCUGUACCCGCCAGUGGAAUUUCCAGUUAGCCGAGGAACUCCUAUGAUCUCUCCAUCGAUUAGAUGGAAUCAUUUGAAAGAAUGGUUUAUACCGGAGUGUAAAGUAGGUAAGUACGCAGAAAGAGAAAGAUACAUCAAAAUUGCACUUAAAGAUGUGGAGCACGAUUAUUUGGUCGGACACGUAAUAGAUGGGAAAAAUUUGCUGCCUGCAACAUGUUAUCUUGUACUUGUUUGGCAAACUAUUGGCAUGAUGAAAGGAUUAAUGUUUUCAACAGUACCGAUAAUAUUUCGAGAUGUAAAAUUUAUUCGUGCUACUCAUUUGACAAAAAAUAAUAAUGUAACAUUAAGGAUUGUGAUACAAAAAGAUGGGAAGUUUGAAAUAACCGAAGGUGAUAGCGUUGUGGUAACAGGCACAGCGUAUGACAUAUCGAAUCCAGAAAAAGAAAUGACUUCGACAGACUUAUUAUUAGAGAAUUAUGAUGAAGAAGAACAAAUGACGACCCGAGAUAUCUACAAAGAGUUGAAACUCCGCGGUUAUCAGUAUAGCGGCUGGUUUCGUGGAAUAAAGAGUGCAUCCGUUUCAGGUAAUAAAGGACAUAUCAUUUGGAAAAAUUGGGUAACGUUUAUGGAUACCAUGCUACAAAUGCGUCUGAUCGGAUAUGACACUAGGGAUUUGUAUGUUCCUACGAGUAUUCGAAGAUUGGUGAUUAAUCCUGAACUUCAUAUUUCGAUGCUACGAAAUAAUGCAGAUUAUGUAAAAGAUACCAUAUUACCCAUACAAAUAUACAGAGAUAUAGACACUAUUAUAGCUGGCGGGAUAGAGAUACAAGGGCUUAAAGCUACUCAGAUUUCUCGUCGGAAGUUAACCCAACAGGCUGUUAUCGAGCAGCACAUAUUUAUAUCUCAUCAAGAUCGCGCUGAAAUUUCUUUAAAUGAGGCGAUUCGGAUAUCAGCACAACUCGUGCUGGAAGAUCAUCAAAUCACUAAAGUGAAAGCCAUUGAGCUGGUGGAAGACGUGGACGAUGUUACAUUAGAAUACCUUUCAUCUUCGUUGUUGAUUGAAGCUUUUGAGGAUAUACCAUUGAUACAAACAAAUGUCACUCUAUUAACAUCGCCGAAUCGUUUCAGUUCAGCAGACUUAUUAGAAAAUAUUUUAAUUGCUGAUAUAAACAAACCAACUGUAAACGAUAAAGUCUUAAUAGCUGCCGGUUUCAAUCUUCUGUCUAAACAUCAAGCUUCUUUAGAGCGACUUUUGCCAUUUCUAAAAGAAGGUGGCUAUUUGUUGUCGCGUGAAAAGUGCGACAUAUAUGACUAUAGCAAGUAUCAGCAACAAUACAAAUUAAACCUUAUUCUUGAAAAGCGCACCGAUAAAGAAAUGAUUGUUCUUAUGAAGAAGAAAGUUUAUGUAAAAAAACAAAUUGUUGUUCGUAUAAGUAAUAAUAAUUUUAACUGGUUAGUUGAUUUAAAGCCGCUUGUAAGCGAUGAAAGCAAACUCGAGGAGGAUAGUAGAAUCAUAAUUGUCGGAGAGGGAGACUCUGAGUGUGGUCUGUUGGGUUUUGUUAACUGCUUGAGAAAAGAACCAGGUGGAGAACUGGUUAGGGGUGUGCUUAUUCAAGACAAGGAGGCUCCUAAAUUUUCUCUUCAAGACCCCUUCUAUUUACAACAAUUAGAAAAAGACACGACUAUUAAUGUAUUACGAUCUGAUAGAAUCUGGGGAUCGUACAGACAUUUACGAUUACCACAACAGAAAGCCAAACCUGUUUCUACCGCUCACGUUAGCCAAACGGUUCGUGGUGAUUUGAGUACAUUUUGUUGGAUAGAGAAUAAUCUAACCAUUCGAUAUCGUCGUGAAGACUUAGUACAUGUUGUAUAUUCAUCCCUUAAUUUUAAAGAUGUAAUGCUCGCUACUGGUAAAUUAGUACCUAAUAUUGCGCUUUAUCGAGGACGGUUACUUGAAUGUAUUUCUCUUGGAUUGGAAUAUGUUGGAUUCGACGCUACCGGGCAACGAGUAAUGGGAGUGAAUGAUACUGAUUGUAUAGCAAACGUUGUUGUAAAGAAUAAAGACUUAUGUUGGAAAGUACCGGACGCGUGGACAUUUGAAGAGGCUGCGACGGUUCCAUGCGUUUAUUGUACAGUUUACUUCGCCUUAUACAUUUAUGGAAAAAUGAAAAAAGGCGAUAAAGUACUUAUACACUCUGGUACUGGCGGCAUUGGACAGGCAGCUAUUCAUCUCGCUCUCAAAGAAGGAUGCGAAGUAUUCACUACUGUAGGCACGAACGAGAAACGUAAUUUUAUUAAAAAAGUGUUUCCUACAAUUUUGGAUGAACAUAUUGGAAAUUCUCGAGAUACCAGCUUUGAACAAAUGAUAAUGCAACAAACGAACGGUCGUGGCGUUGACAUCGUGUUAAAUUCACUGGCGGAGGAAAAGCUAAUCGCCUCCAUUCGUUGUUUGGCCCAAAAUGGUCGUUUUUUGGAGAUCGGAAAGUUUGAUCUUGUUUCUAACAAUCCUCUUUGUAUUUCUGCGUUUCAGAAGGGUAUUAGUUUUCAUGGAAUUUUAUUAGAUAAUUUAUUGAUUGGUGAUCACAAGUAUAAAUCCAUAUUAGGCAAAAUGAUAACCGAUGGUCUUAAGAACCUAACCAUCAAACCUAUUCAAGUAAAAGUUUUCCCGAAAACAGAUAUUGAAGGAGCUUUUAGAUACAUGGCGAGUGGAAAACACAUGGGAAAGAUUAUUAUAAAUAUUCAGGAAAGAAACAAACCUUUAGAUGAACCCAUUAUCGCAUAUCGUCGUUUUUAUUGUCUUAGGAACAAAAGUUAUAUUAUAUUGGGUGGUUUGGGUGGAUUUGGUUUAGAGUUAACAGAUUGGCUAAUAUUUCGUGGUGCCAGGAACAUAGUAUUGGUUUCACGAACUGGAAUAAAAAAUGGUUACCAACGCAUGAAGGUUCGACUAUGGGAAUCGUAUGGUGUAAAUGUGCUAAUCAUCAAGAAUAUCGAUGUCGCUGAUCCCAAAGGUUGUGAAUACCUUUUGCAAACUGCGGAAAACGAAGCACCAGUGGACGCGAUAUUUAACCUCGGUGUGGUGUUGAAAGAUAAUGUUCUAAAGAAUCAAACGGUGGAAACGUUUGCAGAGUCUUUUCAGUCAAAGGCCCGAGCGACGCAAACUUUGGAUAAACUUUCCAGAAAGUUUUGUCCCAAACUGAGGCAUUUCGUAGUAUUCUCUUCCGUUUCCUGUGGUAGAGGCAACCUUGGACAGACUAAUUACGGCAUGGCCAACUCUGUUAUGGAAAGAGUUUGCGAAAAGAGGGUUGAAGAAGGAUUACCCGGAUUAGCAAUUCAAUGGGGAGCUGUUGGUGACGUGGGUCUCGUCGCUGACAUGCAGGAGAACGAUAAGGAAUUGAUUAUCGGUGGUACCUUACAACAAAAGAUAUCCUGCUGUCUUGACGAACUCGAUAAGUUUUUACUUCAAAGCCACCCUGUUGUGAGUAGUAUGGUAGUAGCUGAAAAGAAAUUGGUAUCUAUUGGAUAUGGAAGUCCGAUAGAAGCUAUCGCCAGUAUUUUAGAUAUAAAAGACAUAAAAGUUGUUAGUCAAAAUAUAUCUCUGGCUGAACUUGGAAUGGAUUCCAUGAUGGCUGUUGAAAUCAAACAAACUUUGGAACGAGAAUUCGACAUUUUUCUCACUGCACAAGAAAUAUCUAAUCUCACCAUUGCAAAACUUAAUAAGAUGUUUAAUACAAACAUCAAUAAUGAUGAUAUGCAGCAUAAGAAUAAUCUUUAUGCAGAAGAGGCCUAUGCCAUAAAAUUGCCAGUUAGUAUUGUACGAGACGAAGAUUUUAUUUCAGAGAACUGUUUUGAUCUCUCGGCCGGAAAACGGAAUACUACAACUGAAGUCUUUCUUAUACCGGGAAUCGACGGUUGUGGAACGGUAUUUCGUCAUUUAGCUGCAGAUAUUAAAUUUUCAGCAAUGUCUUUGCAUUAUAACACAAAUAACAUCGAUGCCACGAACGUCAUAUUGGAGACGACUGAUUAUGUUAUCAAUCAUGUAUUAUCAAAACUAAAAGACGGAAAAGACUUUGUAAUGGUAGGAUACUCCUUCGGAUCUAUUAUUGCAAUUGAGUUAACAAGAAGAUUGGAAGACUUGAAUUUCAAAGGCCGUUUGGUUCUUAUCGACGGUGCUCCUGAACUAAUGCGAAUGAUAUACAAAUGUUCUCCACCAAAUUUUGACGAUGUGGAUCUUCAGUUGGCUGUUUUGAUUAAUAUUAUAGAACUCUAUUCACCAGGAUCUAGUAAAAAAAUUGUAAUGGACCUGGAGAAAUGUAAUACCUGGGAAGAACGAUACAAUAUUUUUGCAAGAAUGUUUUUAGUUAUGAAUACGUCACUGUCUUCAGCAAAUUUAAAGACGUUGUGUAUCACUGUUUACAAACAUUUAUCCGCUAUUCGACACUACGAACCUUCUACAUUGCCACUCAUUAAUUCUCCUAUAAUUUUGUUAAAACCUACACAACCGUUGAAUAUACCAAUGACGGAUGAAGAUUAUGGUUUGCAAAAGGUAACUAAAAAUGUAGUUCAAGUACAUUACGUCGAUGGUACUCAUGUGACAAUAUUGAGAAACAAAAAAGUGUCGGCUGCAAUUAACGGGGAACCACCCUUUAUUAUUUGAGGAUGGCAGCCAUGGGUUUGGAUUUUCCGUAUACUGGAGGGUGUUUUAUAAAUGGUGUAACUUUAAGAAAUACAGCAGUAAUUACUCCCCUCUUGUCAGAAGAAGAAGCAAGAAGUCCUCUAGGCUCAAGAAGGAAAAGCACGGGCAGCAAAGUAAUAGAAUUGAGCAUAAUAAACAACGAGUUAUCGAGAGACUACAAAUUAGAUUGGAGAACUGGAAUUGGAUAAAUAAUAAAGUAGCUUGGUUAGAAGUUAAAAAAGGAUUUUUCCAUUUCUACAGCGUGCGCACGUGAAAAAAUAAAUAUGAAAUGAGUGCUUAUUCAAAAAUAAAAUAAAAAGAGCAACAGUAAAGCAAUGCUCUUGAAAGUUAA
rnacentral:misc_RNA from 1 species